GCUGGGCAUUGUGGCACAUGCCCCUAGUUCUUAUUGCUGGAAGGCUGGUGGAUCAUCUGAAUGUGCAAAUUCUGAGGUGGAGUAGCCCACAAUAAGUCUGGCACCAGUAUGGUGAGUCCCAGGAUCGGAAGGCUACCAGGCUGCUUAAGAAGGAAUGAAUCAACCCAAGUUGGAAAAAUGGAGCAGAUUAAAACUUCCUUGCUAAUCAGUAUUGGGAUCUGGCCUAUGAGUGGCUACUGCAUUGCCAACCUAGGUGAGAUAGAGAGACCU
rnacentral:SRP_RNA from 1 species